ACAACAGUUGGAAACGACUGCUAAUACCGCAUAAGCCCACGAUCCGGCAUCGGAUUGAGGGAAAAGGAUUUAUUCGCUUCAGGAUGGACUCGCGUCCAAUUAGCUAGUUGGUGAGGUAACGGCCCACCAAGGCGACGAUUGGUAGCCGGACUGAGAGGUUGAACGGCCACAUUGGGACUGAGACACGGCCCAGACUCCUACGGGAGGCAGCAGUGGGGGAUAUUGCACAAUGGGGGAAACCCUGAUGCAGCGACGCCGCGUGGAGGAAGAAGGUUUUCGGAUUGUAAACUCCUGUCGUUAGGGACGAUAAUGACGGUACCUAACAAGAAAGCACCGGCUAACUACGUGCCAGCAGCCGCGGUAAAACGUAGGGUGCAAGCGUUGUCCGGAAUUACUGGGUGUAAAGGGAGCGCAGGCGGACCGGCAAGUUGGAAGUGAAAACUAUGGGCUCAACCCAUAAAUUGCUUUCAAAACUGCUGGCCUUGAGUAGUGCAGAGGUAGGUGGAAUUCCCGGUGUAGCGGUGGAAUGCGUAGAUAUCGGGAGGAACACCAGUGGCGAAGGCGACCUACUGGGCACCAACUGACGCUGAGGCUCGAAAGCAUGGGUAGCAAACAGGAUUAGAUACCCUGGUAGUCCAUGCCGUAAAC
rnacentral:rRNA from 1 species